GUCUACGGCCCUGCCACCAUGAACGUGCCCGAUCCUAUCUGAUCUCAGAAGCCAAGCGGGGUCGGGCCUGGUUAGUACUUGGGUGGGAGGGUGUCACACGGGACAUUCUUCAUU
rnacentral:rRNA from 1 species